rnacentral:rRNA from 1 species
AUUGAACGCUGGCGGCAGGCCUAACACAUGCAAGUCGAACGGUAACAGGAAGAAGCUUGCUUCUUUGCUGACGAUUGGCGGACGGGUGAGUAAUGUCUGGGAAACUGCCUGAUGGAGGGGGAUAACUACUGGAAACGGUAGCUAAUACCGCAUAACGUCGCAAGACCAAAGAGGGGGACCUUCGGGCCUCUUGCCAUCGGAUGUGCCCAGAUGGGAUUAGCUAGUAGGUGGGGUAACGGCUCACCUAGGCGACGAUCCCUAGCUGGUCUGAGAGGAUGACCAGCCACACUGGAACUGAGACACGGUCCAGACUCCUACGGGAGGCAGCAGUGGGGAAUAUUGCACAAUGGGCGCAAGCCUGAUGCAGCCAUGCCGCGUGUAUGAAGAAGGCCUUCGGGUUUUAAAGUACUUUCGGCGGGGAGGAAGGGAGUAAAGUUAAUACCUUGGCUCAUUGACGUUACCCGCAGAAGAAGCACCGGCUAACUCCGUG